rnacentral:rRNA from 1 species
CUUCCUACGGGGCGCAGCAGUGGGGGAUAUUGCACAAUGGGCGAAAGCCUGAUGCAGCGACGCCGCGUGAGGGAAGACGGUCUUCGGAUUGUAAACCUCUGUCUUUGGGGAAGAAUAGAGACGGUACCCAAAGAGGAAGCUCCGGCUAACUACGUGCCAGCAGCCGCGGUAAUACGUAGGGAGCGAGCGUUGUCCGGAAUUACUGGGUGUAAAGGGAGCGUAGGCGGGUUUGUAAGUUGCAUGUCUAAUCCACCGGCUCAACCGGUGAUCGCGUUCCAAACUGCCGGUCUUGAGUGGAGUAGAGG